rnacentral:rRNA from 1 species
GAAUAUUGGACAAUGGGCGAAAGCCUGAUCCAGCCAUGCCGCGUGUGUGAAGAAGGUCUUCGGAUUGUAAAGCACUUUAAGUUGGGAGGAAGGGCAGUAAGCGAAUACGUUGCUGUUUUGACGUUACCGACAGACUAAGCACCGGCUAACCCUGUGCCAGCAGCCGCGGUAAUACAGAGGGUGCAAGCGUUAAUCGGAAUGACUGGGGGUAAAGCGCGCGUAGGUGGUUCGUUAAGUUGGAUGUGAAAGCCCCGGGCUCAACCUGGGAACUGCUUUCAAAACUGGCAAGCUAGAGUAUGGCAGAGGGUGGUGGAAUUUCCUGUGUAGCGGUGAAAUGCGUAGAUAUAGGAAGGAACACCAGUGGCGAAGGCGACUAUCUGGUCUGUAACUGACGCUGAGGCGCGAAAGCGGGGGGAGCAAACAGG